rnacentral:rRNA from 1 species
UGAGUAACACGUAUGCAACCUGCCUGCCACAGCCGGAUAAUCGGGAGAAAUUCCGUCUAAUACGGCAUAAUGCAUCGACGGGACAUCCUGUUGGUGCCAAAGGUUGAUUCCGGUGGCGGAUGGGCAUGCGUCGCAUUAGUUAGUUGGCGGUGUAACGGACCACCAAGACGACGAUGCGUAGGGGUUCUGAGAGGAAGGUCCCCCACACUGGUACUGAGACACGGACCAGACUCCUACGGGAGGCAGCAG